rnacentral:rRNA from 1 species
AUAGUUACUUUGAACUGCGAAUGGCUCAUUAUAUCAGUUAUAGUUUAUUUGAUGAAGAAUACUAAUUGGAUAACCGUAGUAAUUCUAGAGCUAAUACAUGUAUAAAGUCUUGUAGACUGCAUUUAUUAGAAUGAAAACCAUAGGUUUCGGCCUAUUCGUGAGUAAUAAUAACUAAUCAUAUCGUAUGCUUAUGUAACGAUGUGUCUUUCAAGUUUCUGCCCUAUCAGCUUCGAUGUAGUAUGGUCCAAA